UGCGUAGGCGGCCCUGUGUGUCAGAGGUGAAAUCCCACGGCUCAACCGUGGAAUUGCCUUUGAAACUGCAGGGCUUGAGUCCGAGAGGGGAAGGUGGAAUUCCUGGUGUAACGGUGAAAUGUGCAGAUAUCAGGAAGAACACCCGUGGCGAAGGCGGCCUUCUGGCUCGGAACUGACGCUGAGGCACGAAAGCUAGGGUAUCGAAC
rnacentral:rRNA from 1 species